CCUACAAAAGAAGACCAUCUCUGAUGGCCCAGCUCGAGUAAAGAAUCCCAACCCACCAAAGCCCAAAAAAUAAAAAAAUAGAGGAGAAGACUUUUGAAGGGAGUCUUCUUCCUCUUCUCGCCGGCUCCCAAUCGGAGUCGGAAAAGAGCCCCCCUCUGGCUCUAUUUAAAGAGGAGAACCCUCCUCUCUCCCUCUCACCGA
rnacentral:lncRNA from 1 species